AGAAGUGAAAAUGGCCGGUUCCUGCCUUAACUGAUGACAUUCCGCCAUUGUGAUUUGUUCCUGCUCCACCUUAACUGAGCAUUUAACCUUGUGAAAUUCCUUCUCCUGGCUCAGAAGCUCCCCCACAGUGACCUCCGCCCCUGCCUGCAAGAGAAAAACCCCCUUUGACAGAGCGGCAGGUGAGGAGGAGCUGCGGGUGAUUCAGCCUGAGAAGUCAGUGUCAGUCACAGCUGGAGGUUUGACCACUCUGUGACCUCCCUUUGCCCUUGGGGCCCAUCAGGUGGUUCAAAGGAACUGAAACAGGGCAGGAACUAAUCUACAGUUCAAAAGGAGGCCACUUUCCCAAGAUAGCUUGCAUUUCAGACAUCACAAAGAGAAACAAUACAGACUUUUCCAUGUGCAUCACUAGCAUCACAAGAGCCAACACUGGCACCUACAACUGUGUGAAGUUCUGGAAAGGGGGCCCUGACAUGGAGCUUAAAUCUGGACCAGGCACUGAGUUGUCUGUGCAUAUGGAAGUUUAGGUUCCAAUGGGCCCCAUUUCAGAUGAGCAGAGCCUUGCAUGUGGGACAAUCUACGGUUCAUGAUUGCAACAGGAGAGUAUUGUUCCUAGAUCUGGACUCCAGGAUGGGAGAGCCCAGUAGGAGUGGCAGGUGAGGAGCUGCAGGUGAUUCAGCCUGAGGCAUUUGUGUCAGUUGCAGCUGGAGAGAUGGCCACUCUGAACUGCACUGUGACCUCCCUGCUCCCUGUGGGACCCAUCCAGUGGUUCAGAGGAGCUUGUCCAGGCCAGAAAUUAAUCUAUAGUCCAAAAAGAUGCCACUCUCCCCGGGUAACAACUAUUUCAGACCAGAGAAAGAGAAACAGCACAGACUAUUCCAUCCGCAUCAGUAGCAUCACCCUCGAAGAUGCUGGCACCUACUACUGUAUGAAGCUCCGGAGAGCAAUUCCUGCCAACGUGGAGAUUAAGUCUGGACCAGGGACUCAGAUGUCUGUGCGUGAUGAAACAGCAAUCAAGGCUCCCCAGAACCCUUGAACAUAGUGCUACGAAGUCGGAGCCAUUUGCUGUCCCUUUUACAGAUGAAGACAUUGAGGCUCAGAGAGGGAACCUGAGUGGUGAACAGGUCAGGGAUCCAAGGUUUGAAUCCCACAAGCCUGAUUGAUAGCCCCUGUCUCUGCAACACCCAGCGCACUUGUUAAACUAUAGAGAAUCCCUCCAAACUUCUCAUUCUGAACUCUUGCUUUGGAGAACUGAACAGCCCAGGUAGCCUCAGAUGGGGUCUCCUCCUGGGCUCCAAGGUGCUGCUGCUGGUUGAUGUCUCUGCUGCCUAUGUCCACCGGAAGCAGAAGGCCUGACUGCAUCCCAAGAGGAAGACCAGCACUGAGGACAUAGCAGAGUCUCAGGAAUCAUUUCUUGAAGGAUGAGCAGAUGACUAAAUGUGGAUGUGUUUCCCACAGCUCCUUUCCUCCUCCCCUGCCAUGUGGGACCCUCAGUCUGUGCUGCCUCCUUCCUUCCUUGAAGGGCUCAGCUGGAGAGAAGGAGCUGGCGAGAAGCUUCCCCAGACUCAGCUCCAAAUGCCUGUCCUCCCAGGACAUCUUCCUGCCCACAGGCUCCUGUUGCUCCUUUGCAGAGUCCUUGAUGCUCCAUAGCAGGGUCUUCAUUCAUGGUCCUGAGCAGAGGCCAUGGGAUGGGGCUCUGGGGAGUGACUCACGACACCUCCCUAGGAUGUGGGAAACACGCCAAAUCUAAACACAUUAGGACUCCUUGCAUCCAUCGCCUUGGGACUGGCCAUAAACCACAGACUCUCUCUAGCCCCUCAAGAGUUAUUCUGCCAUCUGGAUUCCUGCCUACUCCAACUUCCCAGCCUUGUUGAGGUUCACUAUUGCCUCCUGAAUACAAAUGAACCCCCAUCCCAAUUUUAAGAAAAAAUGAUUCUCCUUCCUCUUUGUCUCACACCAAGAAAGAAAGAAGCUCUCCCUGCUUUCUCUGUGAUGGGACACUAGUUCUGCUAGCAUCCUGCAGCCUUCCCAGCCCUGCUGCUCGUGGCAGAAAUGCUGCCACAGUCCAACAUCCUGGAGUCCUCCUUGAUUUCUCACUCUCUUUUUUUUAUACUCUGCAUUCAAUUCUGCCUUUGAAAUGCUUAUGUCCACUUAUAUGAGACAGUAAAUGUUUAACAAUGGACUUUCUGAAAGGGAAAAACAAAAAGCUGAUUUGUAGUGCUUGCCAAUCUCUGUAGUAUGAAAAUUCCCAACAUAGACAGUUUCAAGCCAUCAACAGUUAAACAACCAGAUUGCAAAAUUCCUAAAAUUUAACAAUUGGCUCUCAGCUGCUCCAGCACAGCACUGAGUUACAUGCCUAAUUCAUGCAUUUCUCACCUCCACCACCCUUCCCUGUCGCAGCCAGCAUCAUCUCUUCUGGUAGCAUUCCAAUUGCCUCUACUGGCUUUCAGUUUUCAGCCACAGUGAUUCUUUGGAAAAGUCUAGUUGUAUACUCCUCUGCUUCUUCUCCAACACAGCUACAUGGUUCCCUUCAUCCCUCCUUCAACUCUUUCUGCCUAAUGUCUACUAAUGUAAACCACCCUGUAUAAAAUAUCAAUUUCCCUCCCUACCCUGAUACUCUAAUUUAUCUUAACAUGAUGAAUUUUUCCUUAGCACAUAUUACCAUCUGUAUUAUUCUGAAUACAGGCAGUUCUCACUUUUCAUGGCAAUGCAGGAUUGUAAAAAUGACCGUGCAACCUGAAACCUGGGAAAGCAAUCUCCAUAUCCAAUUGGAAAAACAAUGAUCAUUCUGUGACUUUUACAAUUUUUUGUCAAAAUAUUAGAAACAAAGUUACAAACGUAGGAGGCAAUAAAAAUGUAAUGAAAUAAACAUUUAUUAGUGCACUGUAAUUCAAAGCAUUAGAAACAUUGAGAGUUCAAGUGUUUUAUUGAUUUGUAAAAAUGUAUCAAGAGUAGUUGGAUCAGUGCUUGCCACCUUCUUGUGCAUUUCUGAUAUGGAGCAAGCAUUGUUUCUACCUUGGUGUUUCAUCAUCUUCCUAAUUUUGAAUUUGUUUCCAACAUCUUAUCCUUUGCAAUUUGUUUGUUUGUUUGUUUUUUAAAUUAUACUUUAAG
rnacentral:lncRNA from 1 species